AUUGAACGCUGGCGGCAGGCCUAACACAUGCAAGUCGAACGGUAACAGGAAGAAGCUUGCUUCUUUGCUGACGAGUGGCGGACGGGUGAGUAAUGUCUGGGAAACUGCCUGAUGGAGGGGGAUAACUACUGGAAACGGUAGCUAAUACCGCAUAACGUCGCAAGACCAAAGAGCGGGACCUUCGGGCCUCUUGCCAUCGGAUGUGCCCUGAUGGGAUUAGCUAGUAGGUGGGGUAACGGCUCACCUAGGCGACGAUCCCUAGCUGGUCUGAGAGGAUGACCAGCCACACUGGAACUGAGACACGGUCCAGACUCCUACGGGAGGCAGCAGUGGGGAAUAUUGCACAAUGGGCGCAAGCCUGAUGCAGCCAUGCCGCGUGUAUGAAGAAGGCCUUCGGGUUGUAAAGUACUUUCAGCGGGGAGGAAGGGAGUAAAGUUAAUACCUUUGCUCAUUGACGUUACCCGAAGAAGAAGCACCGGCUAACUCCGUG
rnacentral:rRNA from 1 species